AACAUUCCAAGUCAUAUCACCUUCACGUGUCCAUUUGACACUUUUACUUUUAGAAGAUUCUUUGAUCCUGGAAUAAAAGGCGAAGAUACUAAUAAAAAUUUCAAGUUCAAUGGACAUUACCCAAAGCUAUUCCAUGACAACCCCACUUUGGAAGAAGAAAAUGUAGAAUAUAUCUCUUUGGGAAAGGCUGCUUAUGUGAUCACCUAUCCUCCUUGACUACUCGGGUGUGUUCUUUCCUCUCUCUUCUCUCUCUUAUUUUAUGUUUGUUUCUUUCAUUGAGGACAAUGCAUAUUUUAAGUGUGGGGGAGGGAAUACUUUAGUUUCUUUGUUUUUGUUCUUUGUUUUGUUUUGUUUUUGUUUUCUUUCUAAAAAAAUUGCAUCUUCUUGAAAGUUUUAGGCUAUAGAUUACUUUGAGUCGAGUUUGCGGAGACUUGAGAAAAAUUCACAAGAUCGGUAUUGUUUUAACACCGUAAGUCUCCUGCAUAUGGAAAUUGAGUUGAAUUUUUAUUAUGUUUUAGCCUUA
rnacentral:lncRNA from 1 species